rnacentral:rRNA from 1 species
GAUCCUGGCUCAGGAUGAACGCUGGCGGCGUGCCUAACACAUGCAAGUCGAGCGAAGCGGUUUUAAGGAAGUUUUCGGAUGGAAUUAAAACUGACUGAGCGGCGGACGGGUGAGUAACGCGUGGGUAACCUGCCUCAGUACAGGGGGAUAACAGUUAGAAUGGCUGCUAAUACCGCAUAAGCACGACAGCUUCGCAUGGAGCAGUGUGAAAAACUCCGGUGGUAUGAGAUGGACCCGCGU